GGGCCGGGACAAAGCCUGGGCCGGGCCUGCGCUUCCGUUCGCUUGACUGGCUGCGCUUGUUUUCAGGGUUUUGGUCUGAAAACGGAUCUUACCUGCGCAGAGCAAAAUCGGUUGUAGAUUAUAUCCACGAAAAUUCCUUCUAUUAAAAUGAAUUUCAAGUCCCACCUACCCUGGAAGCAGAAAGAGAGAGAAGAGAGAGAGUAAAGAGAAAGAGAAAAGAAAGAGAAGUUGAAAAAGAGAAAGAAAACCAAGAAAGAAAGAGAAAAAAACCGAAAAUAAAUGGACAAGAAAGAAAAAGAUGUAGUCUGGUUUUGUUGCCCAGGCUGGUCUCCAGCUUCUAGCCUCAAGCAGUCUUCCCAUCUGCUCCUACCAAAGUGCUCGGAUUAUAGGCAUGAAUCACCUUGCAUGGGAGAUAAGGACCCCCACAUCAAGCCCUCAGGUCACUGGGAUCCUGGACUACGGCACUGCUCCAGGCAGGCCUGGUUAUCCUGCUUGAGGCAGCAAUCCUCUUGAGCCUAGUGAAAUGCAACUGGCUGUACCUCAAUGAUGUUGCCCUGAGAUUCUGCCAGUCGAGGCCAACGUGCCAUGCAUCCCUGGAGCAUGAAACCCAGGAUGGGCCGCCUUCCAGCCUCCCACAGCUGUGAUGCAAGUUGAACACAUACAGAGAGACUGCAUCUGCACUGGGUGGUUUUCCUGAGCCUUGGGGAGCAGAAUGCAUGAAUCCCAGAUGGAGGAAGUGGACCAUGAGUCAAAGGAUGUAAGUGGCCUCUGGAACCUACAAAGGGCUCAUAAACAGAAGAGACUUGCUUGUCUCAGAUGAAACUUUGGACUGUGGACUUUUGAGUUAAUGCUGAAAUAAGACUUUGGGGGACUGUUGGGGAGGCAUGAUUGGUUUUGAAAUGUGAGGACAUGAGAUUUGGGAGGGACCAGGGGCAAAAUGAUAUGGUUUGGCUGUGUCCCCACCAAAUCUCAUCUUGAAUUGCAGCUCCCAUGAUCCCCACAUGUGGGAGGGACCCGGGGGGAGGUAACUGAAUCAUGGGGGUGGGAUUUUCCCAUGCUGUUCUCAUGA
rnacentral:lncRNA from 1 species